rnacentral:lncRNA from 1 species
AGCUUUAAUAAUAUAAAUCUUGAAAGAUCGCCAAAAGCAAAAGCAUAUACGUACAUAUGUGUGUGUGUGUGUGUAUAUGCAAUAAAGGCUAACAAGAGACCAGAGAAGCUCGUGUGAGUGGAGCCAUUUUGUUGUACUUUCAUGGCCCCAGAUCCUGUAUAUAAUUAAAAUAUACAUUCACAGCAAUCUUCUUUUCACAUUCCAACCAUUUUGUACUAUAUUUAUACGUAGUUAAUUGUUAUUUUAAUUUAUAUACUAACCAUGGCCUAACAUAACGGUAAAAAAAUAUAUAAUUACAUUGAUUAGAUAAUCGUACGUACUCAAAUAUAUUCUAAAAUAACACCACUACCAUUCG